GACGAACGCUGGCGGCGUGCUUAACACAUGCCAGUCGAACGGAAAGGCCCUGCUUUUGUGGGGUGCUCGAGUGGCGAACGGGUGAGUAACACGUGAGUAACCUGCCCUUGACUUUGGGAUAACUUCAGGAAACUGGGGCUAAUACCGGAUAGGAGCUCCUGCUCCAUGGUGGGGGUUGGAAAGUUUCGGCGGUUGGGGAUGGACUCGCGGCUUCUCCGCUUGUUGGUGGGGUAGUGGCUUACCAAGGCCUUGACGGGUAGCCGGCCUGAGAGGGUGACCGGCCAGAUUGGGACUGAGAGACGGCCCAGACGCCGACGGGAGGCAGCAGUGGGGAAGAGUGCACAAUGGGCGGAAGCCUGAUGCAGCAACGCCGCGGGCGGGAUGACGGCCUUCGGGUGGUAAACCGCUUUCGGCUGUGACGAAGCGUGAGUGACGGUAAUGGGUAAAGAAGCACCGGCUAACUACGUG
rnacentral:rRNA from 1 species